ensembl:lncRNA chromosome unknown C8orf58 homolog
CAUCAAUGAAAUUUGACCAGAGAGCUACUAUUGUCUCCCCAUUUCUCUCUCUCUCUCUCUCUUAAAGAAGUAGGAUUUCUUGCCUGUUUAGGUCUUGUCAGUCCCUACCUGCACAGAGGAGAAAGUUGGUGUUGUGAGGGUUAAUACCUUGCAGAUCCGGCAAUCAUAGGUUUUGUCUGUAUUAAGAGGGGGAUGAAUCCAGAUGGCUGGAUAAUCACAGACCUGCUUGCCGGCUGGUUGUGUUCCAUAGACUCAGACAAAGAUAGUAGGGAAAAAACAGUGUGCCCCCCCCCCACAAGCAAAGAAAGGUGUGAGAGCCGGUCUGACUUCCAGCCCUUCAAAGCCUUAGCUGAUGUCCUCAUUUCCAUCAGAUGGCAGGAGAAGAGUGACCGCUGCGAAGGAAACGAAAGGAAAGAAGGAAAAGAAGCGCCCGCCCGCAAUCCCGAAAUUUGUUCACCCGGGAGAAGGAAAGAGACCUGCCACGUAACUCCAGCAAACACAUUUUUCCCCCGGCACAGGAGAAGUUCAAGGCCGGGAAGGCAAUCCGGGUUUCUUCCUCCUCCCGGCGGCGAUCGCUCCUCUCCAGGCUCCAAACGGGAUUCCGCGCCAAGCGGACGGAGGCGCCCCGACCGGAGCGCAAGCGGAGGCAAGACCUGCAGGUCCGCGGAGGCGCAACACCCUCCCCUCCGGCCCCGUCUUGCGGAUCCUCCCCGGGGGGGCCCUCCUUCCUUCGCCCACCGGCCCACCCAUCCCCACCGGCGCGCGCUGGGGGGGGCGCGUCUCUCUGCUUCCCCAGGGAGGGUCCAAGGCAGCGUCAUCGGGGCCGCUCCCUCGCAUAAAGCCACCCCGCCGACCGGCCGCCGCGCCCGUCCGUCCCGCUCCAGUCGCCCGAAGGACGGACAGGCAAGCGCCCCGUGGCGCCCCCCUGCGGAAGAUGCUGCUGGGAAGGCGGCGCGUCUUCUCGGUGGAGCCGCUUUGGAACCGAGGGAGUGCCUGGAGACCAGUCAAGGACUGUGUGGUCUUAACCUCGGUCAGCAUGACCCAGCAGUUACAGGCUCCUCAUCUUGAAUUCUCGUUUAGCCCUGAACUGGAGGGGAAGAUGAGCAGUCAAGUGGAGAGAUGGAGUGGGGCCGAGUCCCCGGCAGAAUCUGUCCCCCACAAGGUAGGCUUCUCGCCUAUGAGUGGGAGGCUCCUGAAAUCCGAAUCCGAGGACUCGGGCAUGGAGAUGGCCAGCAAUGAUCACUCUCUGUCUAGCCCAGCGGGGUCUGAGAGAAGCUUCUUUUUGGACUUCGUGGAUGGUUUCCACCCUUCGGUGGAAGACAGUCCUCCUCCACCACCCUAUGAGAGUUGCCCCAAAGGAGAGGGGCAGGAGGUGCUGCCAGGUCCCACCCAAGAUGGCACGCGCUGCCAGAAUCUCUCUGACAGCAAGGAGGCAGCACAGCCGGCCCUGCAGCCCCAGAAGCGCUGUCCUCGGCCACUGAGUCGGAUGCCCUGUGCCCUGAAGAGCUUGGAAGGGCCCCCCGCUAUGCCCCGGCCAACAAGCAUUGAUGACCUGAUGGAGAUGCUUGGUGGAGGAGAUGGUCAGCCGGCCUUUGACUGCAACUACCCAGAAGAGCCCAGCGUGAAAGACAAGGUGAAGAACGAGCCAUUACUUGCUAUGCCCGGAGAGGGCCUGCUGUACCUGGAACACAUCUGUCAGAUGAUGGAGAAGAUUGCCCAGCUUCAACGGACCAACUUGCAGCUCCAGCAUCGACAAAGAAACAUGGAGCGCUGGGCCCGGGUUCAGGAAUUUGAGAAAAAAGGCUUUUUUGAAGAAACUCCAGAAAGCCCCGGAUUGGCAAGAGUGGAAUCCCAAUGGGAGAAUUCAGCUGCUCCAGAAAUGGAAGAGGCAGUGACGGCAGAGGAGGGACCCAAUUCAUUCAAACCCUGGCACCUCCAUCACUUCCGGGCACGCUCUGCCUCCGAUACCCAUGUGCUACGGAGACCAGCCCAUGCCUCAAGGAGCAAGGCCAGUUGUUCUAGGAAAGCAGCCCUGAAUGCGGUCAGCUCACCCAGCGCCUUAGAUCAACUGGAUGGGGGUUCUCGUACUUUGCCACCCGGCAUGAAACUCAAGAGCAGAUGUUGUGAAGGACAGACAGGAAUCCCAUCGCCGAUGGCGUUUUCUGCCCAGUCUAGGGCCACAGAAACACCGAUCAAAACAACUCUCCAUGCAGUGAACUCCUGGUUUGCCUGGCGGAGACGAUCAAUGUGCAGGCUGGUGCUGUCACCUGCAUUGACUGCCAUCCCUCCUAGGCCCCUCAGGAUGUCUUCUUCCGGAUUUGUUGAGGGUUGUGGAGUUUGAAUACCCACUAGCGGAAGAGGAGACCUUAUGACUACAGCUGAGACACGCCAGCCCUACUUGUUUCUGUGAGUGGGAAAAUGGCAG